CAAGAGGGAGGAGCCAGAGGUGCGGGUCUGGGCCAGGCAGGGGGCAGUGGAUAGCCUGCCUCAUUUACUCAACACCAAAGCCAAGGGCUGUGCCAGGCCUCUUGCGUGUGUCCCCUGUGGUCGUCCGAGGCAGACCUCGCUGCCUUACCUCUACAGCUGAGGACAGUCGAGAGCGUUCAAGAGCUUGCCCAGGGCCAGUCGGCGGGGAUCUGCACCGGGCUCUGCAGACUCCAGCCUUGGCCGCCCCGCGCCACCGCCGGAGGGCUGGCACAAGUGUCAAGAGAGACCGAAGGGUCCGGUUUCCCCACGGGCUUGGCGGUGAACAGCCAAAGAUGCAGAGCAAAGGGAACCACGGGGAGCGCCGGGUCACGUCUCUUCAAUGGGAAACCCACGGCCGCCCGUAUGGAGUGAGCAGCGCGUUCCCUCUGUGCCCCAGACACACUUCAAGAAUCGACUUCUCACAGGGGGACGACAUGCCUUGGGAUUUUACGAUAAACGUUGGCCUUUACGAUAA